rnacentral:lncRNA from 1 species
UACGGAGUAAAGUCGUUCGUGGCUGAAAGAAGUCUGGAAGAGAUUCGGAGAAUAGUCGAUCACUGUAGAAAAUCAGCUGAUAGUGAAGCUCAGAAAGCGUUUGGAGCAACCCGGUAGAUGAAUAGAGGAGCUCAUUAUCAAAGAAGUCCGGAUGGUAUUAUGGAAGCUCGGAUGGUCGGAGGAGUUCAGAAAGACUCCACACAAGGUCGGAAGCUGGAAAAGCCCUGGAAGGGUCGGCCUUUUAUGAACUUCGACUGGGGUUAUUUUAUACCCAACAAUUGGGUUCUUAUCC